UUUUUUUUUUUUCUCAUGCAUAUUGAUAUUUGAUAUUUUAAGGCUUUGCUCCUAAAUACAUUAUUAAUUCAACUUUCAAUAAGAAAAAGCAAUAUUUUUCCUAUCCUAAAGGAUGCAAAGAAGUCACUAUAAAGCAGCAUCUCACGUCGCAUUAAGUGUAGCCUGAGAAAUGAUAAGGAAGAUGCUUGUCCACUAAGCCAAUAAAGAAUUGUUGACAGAAGACCAAAGUGUUUAAAGAUUUUUUAUACACUAAAAUUUAGAAGAAAAAUCACAAUUAAAUAGCAAUUGUAGAUAAUACUGAGAUGCAAGAACAUGGAAAGAACAGGUUGGAGAGUACUUAGGCAAGUUAAAUACUUUUAACUCAGGAUAAGAUACACAGAAACCUGAGGAAGACUUGGGAAAUCUCAGAGUCCCCUGGCAAUUGUUUACCUAUGGAAAUCUAUGGAGGAUUAAUAACAUAUCAGAAAACUGCAGAAGGGUGAAAAUGGUGAUUAUUCUUAUAAAGGAUCAAGAAAACCACAGCAGCUGGGAAUUUGCAGGCCUGACAGCAUACUUCAUUUAUCAAAAAAAAAACCAAACAACCAAUGGCACAUACAAUUAAAUGAUCUAUUCGUAAGCACUGAAAAGAGCUCCAUGAAUGGCAGUCAGCGUGAAGCUAUGCUGAGAGCAAAUAAUACCAAACUAUUCUAGUUUGGUACAGUACCAGAUCUUGUGGGUACACAGAAGAGAAUAUAUCACACAGUUUUACUGUACUACAGCUUUUAGUAUUUUCUUGUAAUUACACCAACCAACCAUGUCCUUCUUAGAUUAAAAUGUAAUAGGUCAGGUACAAAACUGGUUGGAAAAGAGCUUACUUCUCAAAGUUUAAUGUACGUGUAAGCUAGGAUCCUGCCAGGGAUUGCUAUGGGAUUUUUACUAUGACUAUAUGACCAGGAGCACAUAGCCAACAGUCAGGAGAGUGGAAGAAUGAGGUUAUUAAUUGAUGAACAACAUGAAGAUAAGGACGAUCAACCAAAAAGUUGGAGGGCAGACUGUAAAGAAGAGGAUGCUGUUCUAUAAGGACAAGUGCAAGGUGCUGUGAGUACGAAUAAAUGGUCUUACAAAUAUCAACCAUGGGCUGGAUAAAAGGAUACAGUAAUGCCAUUAGCCUGAGUCAGCAGGCCAUCCCCUGGGAGAGGUGAAUGUCACACUGGGAUGUACAACCAGUGUACAACUCGUUGGGCUCAGGUGGGAAGUGUCACUUCCAGUCUACUCAGAUGGAGCUCAAUGCCUAAUUUCAGGGUGCUGCAUUUUGGCAAAGAAGACAAGCUACUGGAACUGGAUGAAAGUUGGAUGAGAAUGAGGGCGGAACUUGGACUGCUUAGCCUGUAGAUGAGAGUGCAGGAAGUGGGUAAAAUACUAAAUAAAGGAUGUUUCAGGAAGGAAAGGAAAUCUAUUCUCAAGAUGUGUGAUGAAUAAAAGUCAUGGGGAUUAUAUUUCAUCACAGAAAACUCAAGAAUUAAGAAAAUUAAGAAAAAAAUUCUCAUAGUUGGGACAGUAGAAGUCAAGAAUGUAUCAGACUACACUGUUCAUCAUUGCAGAUGUCUGAGGAUAAGUGGGAAAACAUCUGUGGGGACUUUCAUAAAUAUGGGCUGUCUGGCCUUGCAUUGGGGAAGAAAUUACAGGAUUUGUCAAGGGCCCAUUUAGCCUUGUCUUUCUGUGGCAUUCAACAUUUGAACGAAAAAAAAAACCCCAAAACAAACCAAAGAUAAAACAAGAACUCAAAACUUCUAGUUCUAUAAAUCUCAAGUUAGGGGUUAUAUAAUUCACUUUUUUACACUCUGAGUUGUAUAGUGCAUGUCUAGGUACUGCAAGGAAAGAAAAAGGAAGAUACAAAAACCAACAGGACAUUUCUUUGCGGAACAGUGACAUUUUCCUGUUGCGGUGGUAAGGCACCACAAAAAGGAUAAAAAGCCUUCACAUCGGCCCCCCAAAUUACUGGAGACAAUCCUAACAGCUUUACUACUUCAACUUCCUUCCAAAACUAUCUCCUACAGACACAGGUCUGCCUUGCCUCAACUCCAUUGGCAUAUUUUGGUGGCUGGCUGUAAGUUGGAGUGGGGCUUGAUAAGGGCAUCCUAAACCAUUUCUGUACCGGUGAGCUAAACCAGUUCUUACUGGAAAGCAGAAGAAGCAAUUCUUCUCCUUCAGCCACCUUUUAGGACAAACACAGCUAGAAAAGGUGUUUGAAGGCAUCUUUCCCUCCAGAUAUGAAUUAUUCAUCAACAGGGGCAUUACUGGAUUCCUGAGGUCUUCACACUGAGAACAUUGUCCUGGCUGGGAAGCGGGCCUCCACCCAGACCACGAGCAGCAGAAGCAAUGAUUUAUAAUUUCUUCAGCAAACUAGCCUGGGGAAAAGUAAAAAAAAAAAUAAAUAAAAAAAUAAAGAAACCCAGCAACAAAACCAAGGCAGGAAAGCAGUCCUGAAAGACAGGAGACACAAGGAGCGAGCAAGACAGAUAAGAACAGCAACCCAAAGGAGGGAAGACAGCAAGGUAAUGUGAAGUGGAAAGUCAAUGGGAAAACAAACAAUGUGUUCUUACUAAAGCUGUUAAUUCACUCUUCAUAUCUCCCACUCAAGCCACCCAUCACAACGUAAACUAAAUAGAGCUUUGAGCAGCUGCCUGCCUGCCACAGUAAAUGAGCCUUCUGUAUAUGGAGCACUGCUCCAGCAUGCUGGCAUCCUAAAAGGAAAAAACCUCAGCUGCAAAAAUAAACAAACCAGGUACCACAAUCCUCCUCCCUACAUUUUUUUCCCCAAAGAAUAUGUGCUACUAAAUAUUAACCCCUUCUUACUUGUUAAAUAAGCUCAGUAUUUUUUUGCUUAAAAUACACACAACUGGUAUCAUCCUGAAGCACUGACAUAGUGUGUUGUACAGCACAGUACAAAGCUUUACUGAGCACCAAAUCCAGGCUCAUGUAAAGUUUUUCCUCCAUAUCAGAGGGGGCAUAAUGCCCCAACUCCCACUUUCAGACCUGAUGAACAAAUACUUGUGGACCUAAGAUGCUCUGAGAAAAACAUGGUUUUUGGUCCAUCCUUCAGUCUUCUUAUGACACUUUGCAGUUAUGGCUUCCCAUCUUUUGCUGAAGCCCUUGCUUUAGUGAGAAAGUGAUCAGCAGUUUACGUGGCAUGUGGGGCACAGGGAUACAAAGAUUUGGUGGAUUAUACACUCAUUAUGUCUUGGUUUGGCAGCUCACAGAUUCAGGUGAUCAAGAACUGGGAUCUACCAGGGGUGUCAAUUUUAUGCUUGUGGCUAGAACGGAGGUACUAAGGGAUGUUACCACUUAGAAAGUGGUGGCUUGGCACUUUGGAUUUUGAAUGGGACAUGCUGGCACAGUGGCUUUUGCAAGCCAUAUGAGAGAAAACAAAGAAAACCCAAAAGUUUUGGGAUGCCAGUCUCAGCCUGUCAUUGGGAUUCCUGUGACUUAGGACAGUUUGGGUCUGUGCCUGGCUUACC
ensembl:lncRNA